UACGUAGGGGGCGAGCGUUGUCCGGAGUUACUGGGCGUAAAGCGCACGCAGGCGGUCUGCUAAGUUUGGAGUGACAGUUGGUGGCUUAACUGCCAAAGUGCUUCGGAAACUGACAGACUUGAGGGCUUCAGAGGGACACGGAAUUCCGGGUGGAGUGGUGAAAUGCGUAGAGAUCGGUAGGAACACCAGUGGCGAAGGCGGUCUCCUGGAGCAUACUUGACGCUGAGGCGCGAAAGCUGGGGGAGCGAACGGG
rnacentral:rRNA from 1 species